rnacentral:scRNA from 1 species
GGGGUUGGGGAUUUAGCUCAGUGGUAGAGCGCUUGCCUAGGAAGCGCAAGGCCCUGGGUUCGGUCCCCAGCUCUGAAAAAAAAAAAAAGAACCAAAAAAAAUA